rnacentral:ncRNA from 1 species
GGACCUGGCGCGUCUGGACCCUUGUACUUCCAAGUACGGAGAGGGUGAAAUGACCCCGACCAACCCUCCCGGCCUCCCGUCGCUCGGACGGGUGAACCAUGCCAACCGGGCUGGAUUUCGGUGGGGUUGCCUGACAUAUGCUCGCCGCGACAACUCCAGAACACGAGACGGCCCCCGCCGGGACUGGCAUCCCGGACGAGGGCCUGACCAUCAAGGAAGUAGCCCUUCCCC